CAAGGUCAGCAGUAGCCUGAUGCGACAUCACAGUGCCUACGUCCUUCACCUCCUUCCUCUCAUCACGUAGGCCUCUUAUCAUCUCACGUCAACACAGGAAGGAAAAUGCAAGAAGCAAGAAGAGACAAGCAGGUUUCAUCCCAGUAGGCACCUGGCAGCGGCUUCUCACAGUUGGCAGCGAGUUUCUGGCCAAAACAAAAGCACGAUCCUAUGGUGAAAUGCAUUCUCUCAUCACACUCUCAGCUAACUAAACCCUGCAUCAACCUGAUUUACUGUUAAGCAACCUGACCUGGUGUAACCUCUGCCACAUAGCAACCUGUCGAAAUAUUUAUCGACGGUUGUUAAUGCUUCUUGGAGCCCUCCACCCACCCACCCCACAUCCCUUUUCCCCAAUCUCGCUUUUCCUGCGUCCUCACCAUCAAACCUUCACCUUCGGUGCUCAGAACAUAACGGUGGAGGAUACCACACUUGCUCCGGAGAUGAAACUGGAAAAAUCAAAUGAUUUGUCCUGGCCAGCAAAGCAAAAUACACCAAACCCACUUCCAAAAAAAAAAAAAAAAAAAAAAUCACCCACGAGACAGACAUUUUAAACU